rnacentral:ncRNA from 1 species
UAUGUAUUAUUAAGGUUAAUUUAUAGAUUGAUCCGAUAACUGGGUCGUGAAUAAUAAAGUUUUAUUCUUGCUUUGUUAUUUGCAUUUAGGAGAUUUUACAUAUAUUGAAUAUCUAAAGGAUAUAUAUAGUAGUAAUUAGUAUUAUACAAUAAGGUUAUUUUUGAUAUAGUUUUUCUUAUAGUGUUGGUUAAAUGCGUGCCAGCUGCCGCGGUUAGACGUGAAAUACGAGUAAAUAAUUUUGAUUGGAAGUUAAUUGUUUUUUUUUCAUAUAUUUUAUUAUUAGUUUUGGUGGAAUAAAGUAAAUUGUGUUUAAUUGGUUAAUAAUAUUAUGAGGCUUCGAAAUAUAUUUGAUAAACUAGGAUUAGAUACCCUAUUAUAUGUUAUGUAAAUCUAGAUAUAUUGGGGUAGUAGUAGGUAUGAUCUUGAAACCCAAAGAAUUUGGCGGUGUUUUAGUCCUUUCAGAGGAAUCUGUCCUGUGAUUGAUAAUACACGAUUUAUGUUACUUAAUUUUGUUAUCAGUUUAUAUACCGCCGUCAGUAAGAUUAUCUUGUGGAGAGUAUAAAAUUUCAUUAUAUUUUAUUUUAUAUUAUGUCAGGUCAAGGUGUAGCUAAUGAUUAAGUAGUGAUGGAUUACAAUAAGUUUAUUUAUAUGGAUAGUAAUUUGAAUAAUUUAUUUGAAGGUGGAUUUGAUUGUAAAUUAGUAUAAAUUAAUUAAUUGAUUUUGGCUCUAGAAUGUGUACAUAUCGCCCGUCGCUCUCGUUUUAAGAUGAGAUAAGUCGUAACAUAGUAGAUGUACCGGAAGGUGUAUCUGGAAUGG